AGCGAACGCUGGCGGCAGGCUCAACACAUGCAAGUCGAGCGCCCCGCAAGGGGAGCGGCAGACGGGUGAGUAACGCGUGGGAAUCUGCCCAUCUCUACGGAAUAACGCAUGGAAACGUGUGCUAAUACCGUAUACGUCCUUCGGGAGAAAGAUUUAUCGGAGAUGGAUGAGCCCGCGUUGGAUUAGCUAGUUGGUGGGGUAAAGGCCUACCAAGGCGACGAUCCAUAGCUGGUCUGAGAGGAUGAUCAGCCACACUGGGACUGAGACACGGCCCAGACUCCUACGGGAGGCAGCAGUGGGGAAUAUUGGACAAUGGGCGCAAGCCUGAUCCAGCCAUGCCGCGUGAGUGAUGAAGGCCCUAGGGUUGUAAAGCUCUUUCACCGGUGAAGAUAAUGACGGUAACCGGAGAAGAAGCCCCGGCUAACUUCGUGUCAGCCGCCGCGGUAAUAC
rnacentral:rRNA from 1 species